CAUGUCCUUUUGAAUUUUAUUUAAGGUCUAUCCUGCCCAGUGAUUAUUUUAAAUGGCCGCGGUAUUUUGACCGUGCGAAGGUAGCAUAAUAAUUAGUUUUUUAAUUGAAGACUGGUAUGAAUGGGUGAACGAGAAAACUACUGUCUCUUUUUUGUUUAUAGUAGAAGUUAAUUUUUAAGUAAAAAAGCUUAAAUGAUUUUAAAAGACGAGAAGACCCUAUAGAGUUUAAUAUUAAUAUUUUAUUUUUAAUUUUAGAAUUUAUUUUUGGGUAAAAUUUUUAAUAUUUGGUUGGGGUGACAAAAAGAUUUAAAAAACUCUUUUUAUUUAUUUACAUAUUAAAUGAUUUUUUGAUCCAAUGUUUUUGAUUUAAAGAUUAAAUUACCUUAGGGAUAACAGCGUUAUUUUUUUAGAGAGUUCUAAUCGAUAAAAGAAAUUGCGACCUCGAUGUUGGAUUAAAGUUUAUAUUGGGAGCAAAAGCUUGAUUAUUAGGUCUGUUCGACCUUUAAAACUUUACAUGAUCUGAGU
rnacentral:rRNA from 1 species